GUCCGCUAGGUAUGCCUUUCUAGCUUAGCUAGUGACAUGAAUUCAUCAAGGUAAGAUUUUAUCCUACCACUGAAUACCACUGUGUAGACGAUACUAUCCCUAAUUUGGAUUCUUAGUUUUGUACUUUGUGUUGAGUUUGUGAUGCUAAGAAUUUUUUUAAUGGAUAUAUACUGUAUUGUAGUGUUUAAUCGAAAUAAAACUAUUUGACCUUAUGGAGGAAGGUCAUGUUUUUA
rnacentral:lncRNA from 1 species